CUUUAAGGUAUAUAUUGGGUAGAAGAGCAUUAUGUAUGGAACUUCUCACGAAACAGGGCUGAAGCAGUGCCUACUCAAUAGAACCGGUCAUCGUGCAAAGAAAUGCCACCUGACUCAAAGGCAAAGCCAGAGUGUAGCUUGGAGCAAAGAAGGUACUUUUAUUAAGAAUUUUAUAUAAACCAUAAGAUAUAUUUUAUAUUACUUUGUGCGCCUUCUUGUUACCUUAAUGCUUUUUGAGAGAAUUCAUUUCAUUUUCAUUUGGUUUGCUUUCUUCUUGUUACAAAGAUGAUCUGUAGAAAAUACAGAAGUAGGCCGGGCGCGGUGGCUCAAGCCUGUAAUCCCAGCACUUUGGGAAGCCGAGACGGGCGGAUCACGAGGUCAGGAGAUCGAGACCAUCCUGGCUAACACGGUGAAAUCCCGUCUCU
rnacentral:lncRNA from 10 species